rnacentral:rRNA from 1 species
UACGGAGGGUGCGAGCGUUGUCCGGAAUCACUGGGCGUAAAGGGCGCGUAGGCGGCUGGGGAAGUCGGUGGUGAAAGCCCGGAGCUCAACUCCGGGUCGGCCGUCGAGACUCCUCGGCUCGAGCUCACUAGAGGCAGAUGGAAUUCCGGGUGUAGCGGUGGAAUGCGUAGAGAUCCGGAAGAACACCGGUGGCGAAGGCGGUCUGCUGGGGUGAGGCUGACGCUGAUGCGCGAAAGCUAGGGGAGCAAACGGG